GGGGAGAUACUCAAGCGGCCAACGAGGACGGACUGUAAAUCCGUUGGUAUUCACCUUCGCAGGUUCGAAUCCUGCUCUCCCCACAA
rnacentral:tRNA from 1 species